AAAAGAAAAAUCAAAAAGAAUGUCACUAGAUAGAAAAGUGGACUCAAAUUAUGAAAAUGUUCCAGUGUCUUCAAAAUACCACUCCCCAGCCUUUCCUUACCAUACAGAGAGGAGUCCACAUACACACGAACACAAUCAGCAAAUUACUCAUCCCCAGUACAGUUCAACUCCACGCGUCACCGGCAUGUGGCAUCCGCACCACGAGUCAUAUUACCCAGAAUUCCAUGCAGAAGAAAUCGUUCAGCAUCAGGGUACCGUCCAGAAAACCAAGAAAAAGUCACACCGCAAACAUGGACAAUCGAGUCACAGACAUGUUGAUGAGCGCCACAGACUUCCUGCCAAGAACACCUCUAUUUCAUUGUCUCAUGAUAGUGGUGUGAAUCUUAUUGGACUUCAUGCUGUGCAAUACAACCAUCCUCAUGACAUUCACCACAGGAGAAGAGUUCAGGAUGACAUGUCCAUUAGGAACAACCUUAGAAACGACCCAUACGACUCUUAUGAAGAUAUUCCCAACUACAACAAACAUGAGGAUCGUCCAAACUACAACAAACAAGUGGUUUGUGAAGUAGAAAUUAAUAAAUCCCCAGAAACAAGAACACGACCAAAUGAAUAUGUUCCAUUGAGAUGGACUCCAAGACUGAGAAUCAGAAACAAAGAAACAGUUGUAAUUCAGAUAGUGCAUUAACUUUCAGUGAACAGAGUUGCGAGACAGUGGUGAAAAAGGAAGACAAGGACAUUGAAGACAUCACCAAGGAAACAUCGGAGAUUGUCCUUGGAGACAGUGGUUUCAGCUCACCACGUGUCUGUGAUGAUAACUCUCCGGAAAUGGAGAAACAAAAAAUCAAAAGCAAAGUCAAGGAACUUGAGAAGGGAAGUCACUCUGACCUCUGUGACAAAAACGUGUACCAAAAAUCGGAUGACAGUUCUCCUGAAAUUCACGACAGCCGCUCAAGUGACAAGGAAAACCGAAUCAACAUGAUUAACAACUUAAAGCAAGCUCAUGGUGACUAUGGGGUCCUAACACACGUCAAUCCAGUGAACGGCAAAAUACCCCUAUUCCCUCAAAAUACAAUGAACCAACAGAUUCCAAGGAAAUUCAGUUUCGAGGAUGACUAUGGAUUCUUGUGAGCAAGGAGGAAAAAAAUUAUAAGACUGGAAAUUUCCAGUUUUGGGAGGUGCAAUAUUAAAACAUUAACAGAAUACCUCAGUUUGCAUGAACGAAAUUGUUUUAAAUAUUUAUGUGUGUGUGCAGCCAAUGUCAUUGUUUUAUAGUGCUAUUUAUGUAAAUAAUUUUUUUAGUCAAUUUAGCAAUGAUUUCUGAGUUCUUUUACAAGAUUUUCUACAUUAAAUAAAUUAAAAA
rnacentral:misc_RNA from 1 species